GCCAUGUGUAAAUUUACAACAAAUCUAUGGCUUCCAUGAAUUAUUUCGAUUCUAAUAGGACAAAUACGAUCAUUAAAAAACUGAAGCGAUGAUGCGUAUACCGUGUGUGUGGCUGUUCUAUUUUACCCACUGUUCGAUAAAUGUAAAACAAAUUUAAUAAACCUGCAUGAAUGAUUUCUUAACUAACCGCUAGAAAAAAAAAAUGUGAUUCCUUUUGUUACUUCUCAGUAAACCCAACAUUUGCAAUUUUAAAUUUACAUUUUUUAUCGUAAGCUACCGUCAAAUUCACUGUUGACAUGUUGUAACCAAGGAGCCGCCAUGUUGACUUGCUGAAAUCAGUAAAU
rnacentral:lncRNA from 1 species